UUUUGGGCGCAUUAGCUGUGCAGCACAUAAAAACUUCAUAGUUAAGCGUGCUCAGGUGGGAGUAGUCCUAGGAUGGGUGACCUCCUAGGAAGUCUCCACUAGGGCAACCU
rnacentral:rRNA from 1 species